ACACCUCAACUCUCAUGGCUUGCCAUGAUGAGCUUGGACUUUGGGGGUCUUGCUGGCCUGGGGUCGGCUCCUCUCAAAUGAAUUAGCUUGCCAGUGUUUGGUGGCAUCACGGGUGUGAUAACUAUCUACGCUUGUGGUUUUCCACCAGGUAACCUUCCACGAUGAAGGUUCGCUGGGGCUCAUAAAUGUCUCUCCUCGGCGAGGACAGCUCUUUGAAC
rnacentral:misc_RNA from 1 species